UGUUUUGUGGCUUAGUUGGUUAAAGCGCCGGUCUAGCGAAUACGGAGUCGUGGGUUCGAAUCCCACUAGAACGC
rfam:Aedes albopictus isolate Foshan contig7531, whole genome shotgun sequence.